rnacentral:rRNA from 1 species
AACCUCCGCAAUGUGAGAAAUCGCGACGGGGGGAUCCCAAGUGCCAUUCUUAACGGGAUGGCUUUUCAUUAGUGUAAAAAGCUUUUGGAAUAAGAGCUGGGCAAGACCGGUGCCAGCCGUCGCGGUAACACCGGCAGCUCUAGUGGUAGCAAUUUUUAUUGGGCCUAAAGCGUCCGUAGCCGGUUUAAUAAGUCUCUGGUGAAAUCCUGUAGCUUAACUGUGGGAAUUGCUGGAGAUACUAUUAGACUUGAGACCGGGAGAGGUUAGAGGUACUCCCAGGGUAGAGGUGAAAUUCUGUAAUCCUGGGAGGACCGCCUGUUGCGAAGGCGUCUAACUGGAACGGUUCUGACGGUGAGGGACGAAAGUUAGGGGCGCGAACCGGAUUAGAUACCCGGGUAGUCCUAACUGUAAACGAUGCGGACUUGGUGUUGGGGUGGCUUUGAGCUGCUCCAGUGCCGAAGGGAAGCUGUUAAGUCCGCCGCCUGGGAAGUACGGUCGCAAGACUGAAACUUAAAGGAAUU